AUGGCAACUGGCCAGUACUCUUCUGCAUGGCAGCUUAUUAAAUCUGACAACUGCACAAACUCCACCCCAUCGAGGUUCAUGCCAGAUGCUCUCAGCAUCUCAAUAUUGUACCUGCCAAUAGUCUGCACUUUGCAUAUGUUACCACCAAUCUUAGGGUCCAUUAGAGCAAACCAAUCUGCCAUCAACAUUUUAACUUCGCAUCCAGCUUUAACCAACUUAUUAACAUUAAUUGUCAUUGAAAUUCCCUGCACAACAAGGAUAAAUCCAUUUAAAACAUGUAGUGAAGAUCGAAUACAGGAUUGA
rnacentral:rRNA from 1 species